UACAAAUUUAUAUCAUUGGUUUAAGACUACAUCUCCCAGAACAUGCUGGUCCCUUUUCAGCUUAGGUGUUCCAUUUCUUCUUCCUUCUAGGGUUUCUCUUCUUUACCAGCCAAGCCUCCAGAUGGUAUUUCAGUCACUCAGCCAAACACCUUCAUUGCAGUCUUUUCCCCCUUCUCCCCCAGUUCACUUAAAAAUAAAUUGUCUUUUUUCGUAACUCCAGACAGAACAUGAAGCACUCUCUCUCUCUCUCUUUUACGCUGCCACUGAAUUCUAAGUACACAAUUAUGCAGGGAAUGUCUUUAGAUUCACCAGCUUGAGAACUUUUAAACAUUAAGCUCUGAAUCAGAUAACAGCUUUCAUCUCAAGAACAGCUUUGCACUGUACCUAAGUAAAAGCUUAACUUAUAUAUAAAAAAAAUUGUUACUAGGGGUAUAAAAAUGUCAAGGUAAUAAAAUAAGUGAAUGCAAAACCCUCCCAAAUAAAACAUGGCACAAAAAAAUUUAAAAGAAUGUUUCCAAGGCAGCUGAUGGCUUAUUUGGCUUAUUAGUUUCUGCUGCCCACCUUUGCAUGUGCUGCUUCAAAAUAAAAUUUCAAAUGGCCCAAGUAUACUUCUGUCCUCUUCCUCGUCUACCUAUUAAUAAGACUUCACCGUGUAAAACAAGCUAGACAAUUACUAUGCCCUAGUUGGCUGUGGUUAAGACUUAAUUGGACGGCUGUGUUCAAUUCUAAGCAUCAUGUUUCCAGAAAGAAAAGAAAAAAGUGAUAAAUUGGAUGUAGUUCAAAGGAAAACAAGACAGCGGAUGAAAGUGGCUUGGAAAAUAAGACCCAGUUGGGAAUGUUAAGGUAAUUCUGUGCAUUUUCAGCUCAGCAAAAAGAUGGCUGAGAGAUAAUGGAAAACUUCUGAUGAGUCAAUUCCAGUUUAGUCUCCCAGGUCAUCACCACAGGGAGGAAAAAAAGAAGGGAGAGAGUCUUCUGUAGUUCUUUGUCUGCAGCUCACCAUACUGGCUCUGGCCUGUAGUAGGUGUUCAGUAAAAACACUCUUGUUGAAUGCCCCCCUAGAGGCUUCAGAAGGAGCUGGCACUGCCAACAACUUGAUUUCAGACUUCCAGCCACCAGAACUCUGAAAGAAUAAACUUCCAUUAUUUUCAGCAGGCAGCCCUAGGAAACAAGUAUAUUUGAUGACCAGAUAUUUUUCCUUCAUUCCUGGUUGCCCAUCGUCAGUCUCCUUUCCUGGUUCCUACUAAUUUCCCUUACUAUUAAAUAUUGGAGUAUUCCAGGUAGAAGACUUUGAACCGUUUUUAACUCUACUGUAGCAUACUUGCUACAUACUUAUUAGAUCCAGGACCUUGGCUUCAACAGCAUUUAUGCGGUGAUGCAUUCUCAUUGUAAAUUUAAGGCAUACUUAGUAUG
rnacentral:lncRNA from 10 species